rnacentral:rRNA from 1 species
CCUACGGGAGGCAGCAGUGGGGAAUAUUGGGCAAUGGAGGAAACUCUGACCCAGCAACGCCGCGUGAAUGAUGAAGGUCUUCGGAUUGUAAAGCUCUUUUCGCAGGGAAGAAGAAAGUGACGGUACCUUAGGAAUAAGCCUCUGCUAACUACGUGCCAGCAGCCGCGGUAAUACGUAGGAGGCGAGCGUUAUCCGGAAUGACUGGGCGUAAAGGGUGCGUAGGUGGUUUGGCAAGGUAGUAGCGUAACUCCAAGGCUCAACCUCGGAACUACUACUAAAACUGGUGGACUUGAGUGCAGGAGAGGUAAGCGGAAUGCCUGGUGUAGCGGUGGAAUGCGUAGAUAUUAGGAGGAACACCAGUGGCGAAGGCGGGUUACUGGACUGUAACUGACGCUGAGGCACGAAAGCGUGGGGAGCAAACAGGAUUAGAUACCCUGGUAGUC